UGGGGAAUCUUGCGCAAUGGGCGAAAGCCUGACGCAGCAACGCCGCGUGCGGGAUGAAGGCCCUCGGGUUGUAAACCGCUUUCAGUGGGGACGAACCAAGACGGUACCCACAGAAGAAGCCCCGGCCAACUACGUGCCAGCAGCCGCGGUAACACGUAGGGGGCAAGCGUUGUCCGGAUUCAUUGGGCGUAAAGAGCUCGUAGGCGGUUCGAUAAGUCGGGUGUGAAACCUCCAGGCUCAACCUGGAGACGCCACCCGAUACUGUCGUGACUAGAGUCCAGUAGGGGAGCGUGGAAUUCCUGGUGUAGCGGUGAAAUGCGCAGAUAUCAGGAGGAACACCAGCGGCGAAGGCGGCGCUCUGGGCUGGAACUGACGCUGAGGAGCGAAAGCGUGGGGAGCGAACAGG
rnacentral:rRNA from 1 species